UACAGAGGUCUCAAGCGUUGUUCGGAUUCAUUGGGCGUAAAGGGUGUGUAGGCGGCGCGGUAAGUCGGGUGUGAAAUCUUGGAGCUUAACUCCGAAACUGCAUUCGAUACUGCCGUGCUUGAGGACUGGAGAGGAGACUGGAAUUUACGGUGUAGCGGUGAAAUGCGUAGAUAUCGUAAGGAAGACCAGUGGCGAAGGCGGGUCUCUGGACAGUUCCUGACGCUGAGGCACGAAGGCCAGGGGAGCAAACGGG
rnacentral:rRNA from 1 species